GCUGUAUCCCAAAUCUGUGCCUUUACUGUCUUUCCAUCCACCUGAAGAGUUCUAGUGGCGAACUCGACACCAAUAGUGGAUUUGGAUUCCAAACAGAAUUCGUUUCUAGUAAACCUGGAAAGGAUAUUAGAUUUUCCCACACCAGAGUCUCCAAUCAGCACGAUCUUGAACAGAUAGUCAUACUCAUGAUCUACUCUAUGCGCCAUACUCUAGUCUCCUCCUUCCUCUCCUCUCUCCUCAGAUCUCUCUAACCCUAAGGCGAAUAGAUCGAGAAGAGAAAAUUUUUCUCGAGGUGUUUGGACUGAAGAACUUUAUAUGGGAAACAAAAUUGGGAGAAUUUCCC
rnacentral:misc_RNA from 1 species